rnacentral:rRNA from 1 species
ACGAACCGUACAAACGUUAUUCGGAAUCACUGGGCUUAAAGGGUGCGUAGGCGGCUUUGCAAGUCGGGUGUGAAAGCCCUCGGCUCAACCGAGGAAUUGCGCCCGAAACUGUUAAGCUUGAGGGACACAGAGGUAAGCGGAACUUAGGGUGGAGCGGUGAAAUGCGUUGAUAUCCUAAGGAACACCAGGAGCGAAAGCGGCUUACUGGGUGUCUUCUGACGCUGAGGCACGAAAGCCAGGGGAGCGAACGG